CAACUAUAUAAGGUACUUUCCCUGGGCAGGUUCGAAUUGCAGAAGGAGGGACUGCUGGUUGUAUACAGUUCACCUUGGUGCAAGACGGUGAUCCGGUGUCUUUCUCAAGAGAGAAGCAAACUGCGGGUCAAAGUGCACCACCAGCCACCAACAGCUAGCUUCCGGAUCAAGUAGGAUGGAAAUGGUUUAUUCCUCCAAAGACUCUUAAAAGAGCAGCCCCUGCUGCAGAAUAGAAAGAGGCUCCAGAGGAGCAGUGAGCUCGAGGAACCCCCCUGAAGAUCCCCAGUUUCUGUAUGCAGCUGCAUCAGGCCCAGACAAAUUCUUCCAUCUGGAGCGUGUCCCCGCAGAUCUUCCCAGCCGCGGCUGUGGUCCGCGUUAUCUCAGGCUGUCAGGUCUCAGAAAUUAGAAACCAUCUCAUUUCAUCAGGGUCAUCCCACACCGUCUGCCACCAUAGAUGGAGAGGAUUUCAAGUGAUGUUUUCUGAAGAUGGUUCUGUUGUCCCGGGAGAGCCCUUGGCGGACAUGGUAGUGCCAGUCAGAGCCCUUGACGCUGUGCAGCCAGGUGGCUUAUUGUCCCAGUGACUUUCCAACCAGAUACUCUCAGUCAGAGUGAAGGGCUCCACUUAGAAACUCCCUUUCCCAUUAACUCGUCAGAGUUAUGCCAUUCCUCUUUAUUCUUUUUAAAAUAUUUAUACUCAAAGAAAUUGUAUGGGGAGUGAGCACACACCAAUCAUAUAACUGUCAAAUGAAAGCCUUUCCUUAAAUGUUCAAGGGCGCCGGAGGAAUAAAUUUGGAGUCAUGCAGAUCUUGUUUCACGAGUGUGUACAUGUGUAUGAAACUUUAUGUGGGUGGAAAACCAACAAGAGAAAAAAGAGAGCAGAAACUGUUGUGUGAUUGCGUUUUCCUGCCCGAGACAUCCUGUGCUCUGCAUCUGAUAACCUGCCACCAACAGGGCUCCACCACAUUGCCCAGGCUGGUCUCAAAGUCCUAGGCUCAUGCGAUCCUCCCACCUCAACCUCCCAAAGUGCUGGAACUACAGGUGUCAGCCACAGCCCCCUGUGAGGAUGCUUAAUCACUCGAGGACGGUAUAAAGGUACAGAAGAACAGCGAGCCACAGACCAGAACCCACCGGAAGCCUCCAGGUGCUGCAGUGAGGAGGAGCUGGAACCCUUCUCCUCCAGGUGCCAGCUCGCGCUGCUGUGGUUCUCAUCUGUAGAGGACGUGGACCAUCCAGGGAAUCACCUGCAGCUGACAGAGGAAACUCUGAAGCCCACCAGGCCUGUACAGACUGGGGAAACACCAGUGCCUGAGGAUAGUGGCUAAACUGCCAGAGAACAUGGGGCUGAGGUGGAGCCUGGAUGACUCUUCUGCCUCUGAGCAAAGCUGCUUGCCCUACACACAACAGUAUUGUCUUAACAUCUGCUGAGUUCCCAGGUCCUCUUAGCAGCAGGCAGAGGCAUUCAGAGCCCAGACCCCAAAGACAUGCUGAUCUGGUUUAAACCUGACUGUGCUACUCAUCAACUGGGGGACCUAGGCAGGUUACAUUGUCUUUUUGUGCCUCAGUUUCCUCAUCUAUAGAAUAGAGGUAUUCUAGUUUCCUGUGAUUUCUGUAAUAAAUUUACAAACUUUGUAACAAAUUACCACAAAUUUGGUGGCUUCAAACGAUAGAAAUUUAUUCUCUCACAAACCUGGAGACCAAAAGUCUAAAGUCUCUAUCAUUGGACUGAAAUAAAAGUGCAGGUGGGGCCAGACACAGUGGCUCACACUUGUAAUCCCAGCACUUCGGGAGGCCAAGGCGGGCGGAUCAUGAGGUUAGGAGUUUGAGACAAGCCUGGCCAAUAUGGUGAAACCCCGUCUCUACUAAAAAUACAAAAUUAGCCAGGCGUGGUGGUGCAUGCCUGUAAUCCCAGCUACUUGGGAGGCUGAGGCAGGUGUAUCUCUUGAAACCAGGAGGCGGAGGUUGCGGUGAGCCAAAAUCAUGCCAUUGCAC
rnacentral:lncRNA from 1 species